AUGAGGAAGGCGGCCGCGGCCUCGCGCUACGCCUCCUACGACGACUCCCCGUCGCCCUCCCCGUCCCCGCGCCGCGCCGGGCCUGCCGCCGCCGCCGCAUCGGGGACGCCGGGGCAGCAGCACGGGAGCCGCGCGCUGGUCGCGGUCAGAUCUGGCCGCGGCGACCUGCGCUGCCAGGCGCCGCAGCCCCACGGCAACCUGGGCUCCGUGCUCCGGAGGCUCAUCUCCAUGGACAAGAAGCCCAGCGCCAAGAACCUCCUCCCCGUCCCUCCCGCCGCCGCUGCCGCCCCCGCGAAGAACGGCAGCGGGGCCAAGCUGCCGGGGCUGUCGCGGAAGCUGUUCCAGAAGGCGCCGCCGGAGGCCAAGAAGAAGGCCCUCACGGAGGUCAAGAACAGCGGCAACGCCAACACGCGGACGCUCGCCAUGGUGCUGCGCAGCGAGCGGGAGCUCCUGUCGCAGAGCAAGGAGCAGGAGGACGAGAUCGCCGCGCUCCGCCUCCAGCUCGAGCAGAAGGACAGGGAGGUCGAGCGGCUCAAGGACCUGUGCCUGCGCCAGCGAGAGGAGAUCAGCACGCUCAAGGACGCAGUGCUGUUCCCGGACACGCAGCCGGACCUCCACGUCCGGGAUGAGAUUUCGACUCUCACCGGGCAGAUCCAAUGCCUUGCCGAGGAGCUCGCCCAGGUCAAGGCCGAGAAGAACACCCCAAGAUCAUGUUUUGAUGAUGAAUAUUGCUCCUCCCCAAGCACGCCCGUGCUUAACGAGGAGACCGCCUUCUCUCUGGAGUGCAGCAUCGGCGAAGCGGAGACGCCACCAAACUACGGUAGCCCCGACGAAAUGUUCGUCAAGGAUCUCAACCCUUGCCUAACCCCUUUCUCCAAGAGCAGAUCCGAGGAGUACGAGGAAUCCUUGAGCUCUCACCGCAGCAAGGCGAGGCCGGACCCCCACCUCUCCAGCUCGCGCCGCAGGCCGGUGUCGAAGAGCUCCGACCACCACCACAAGCCCACCUCGGGCACCGGGAGCAGCAAGCGGCGAGCGCACCGGUCCGACCAGGACAAGUCCUGCCAGAACCUGUUUUAG
rnacentral:rRNA from 1 species